rnacentral:lncRNA from 1 species
CUGCGAGCUACCGGACACCGUCGGUGCGGAUGCACGGUGCAUCCUGCGGCGCGCAAGGGGACGUGCCUCGUUUGAUCACGCGAGAGCCACAUGACAGCAGUAACAUAGUGAGUUUGAAACCCGAGUAUCUUUCGUUUGCCGGACGUUAAAGUGAGAGGAAUUAACAACGACACGACACCACGUAGUAGGGGGACACAAUAUGUACCAAUGAAGCCAACGCUACGGAAUGACGAAGAUGUGCGGACUGUCGGCGCAGUGGCUUGCACUUUUUACAUGGUUCUACUGAGAUGAAAACAAAGAAAGAAGUAGGAACAAUGUGAGAGACGGAGAAAAAGAGACGACGAGAGGUACUUGAGGCAGCGUGGGCAGCUGCUGGCACUGCAUUCCUGUAGGAUCAAGGAUCCCUACUUGCUUCGGGUGCGCAUUUACAUAUGCAGAGACGUAUGUGAGGGGCUUUGAAUUGCGACACGUAUGUUCACAUAUAUGCACCACUGUUCGUAUGACAGUGCACGCAAAUGUGCCACAUAUAUGCGUUGUAAAGGUGUUUGCUUCUUACGCCCUGAUUGUCAGUAUCACAUUCACAUAUUUUUUUAACGCAAGUCCUACGGAUGCAGAAAAUAAAGACUGUACUCGGCAAAAUAAUGAAAAUUAAUUAUUAAUUG